rnacentral:rRNA from 1 species
AACGAACGCUGGCGGCAUGCCUAACACAUGCAAGUCGAACGAGACCUUCGGGUCUAGUGGCGCACGGGUGCGUAACGCGUGGGAACCUGCCCUUAGGUUCGGAAUAACUCCCCGAAAGGGGUGCUAAUACCGGAUAAUGUCUUCGGACCAAAGAUUUAUCGCCUUUGGGUGGGCCCGCGUUGGAUUAGCUAGUUGGUAGGGUAAAAGCCUACCAAGGCGACGAUCCAUAGAUGGUCUGAGAGGAUGAGCAGCCACACUGGGACUGAGACACGGCCCAGAAUACUACGGGAAGCAGGAGUGGGGAAUAUUGGACAGUGGGCGAAAGCCUGAUGCAGCAAUGCCGCGUGAGUGAUGAAGGCCUUAGGGUUGUAAAGCUCUUUUACCCGGGAUGAUAAUGACAGUACCGGGAGAAUAAGCUCCGGCUAACUCCGUG